rnacentral:lncRNA from 1 species
AAAAUAUAUAUAUUUAAUUUCUUUCGAACUUCCUUCAUGAUCAAAAAGCUAUUCGGUACUGUUCCACACUAUCAAAUAACUAUUAUAAGGUAAUAGUCAUCGUUUAACAAUUCACUUAAGCCGCGUUUACACUGGUCGGGCAAACGAAUCUUCGUUCGCUCGGUCAAUGUAAACAGGAAAGCCGAGCGAACAUUUUCGUUCGGAAGUGAUCACUACGUGGAGCGAGCGAACGCUCGCUCGGAAUGUUCGUUUACCUUUAGUGUAAACAACUGCUGAACCUCGAGCGAUCAUUCGCUCUACACGUGCUCGGAUAGCCUUAAGCCGCGUUUAAAUUAUAGGAAAACAUAAGCGAACAAAUUCGUUCGUUCGCUUAUGUUUGGGUUAUGUUCACUAUAAUUUAAACGGCGAAACGAACAGUUGCGAACGAAUGUAUUCGUGUUCGGUAUGUUCCGUCGCUUGUCGGUAAACUAGCGAAUCAUCAACGGAAGUUUGUUGCUCUAAGUUGACGAUGUGUUUGUCGUAGCGAACAGAGAAACGAAUUUUCUUCCAGUGCAUUUCAGCAUUCGUUAUUGAUAAAAAGGUAAAUUGGUUAAAGUGUUGUUAUUUUACUUACUGUUAAUGUGUUAAUUAUAUAGAAUGGAAUGGACUAACGAGAAGACGCAUGAAUUGAUUGAAUUGUAUAGGAACAAAUCAUGUUUAUGGGAUCCUAAAUGUUCAUUAUACAAAAUAAUUUACAAAAAAAUGAUGCCUGGAGUGAAAUAGCAAGAGAAAUGAAAUGUGAAGUAUCAGAAGUUAGGGAAAAAAAAUUAAUUCACUCUUGGCAUCGUUUCGUAGAGAAAGACAAAAGGAGGGCUCUUCAAGAAAAUCCGGCAGUGGAUCCGACUAAAUUUAUCAUUCUACAUGGUUUGUGUACAAAAGUCUUCAGUUUUUAAUGAAUAAAUUUCAACCCAUGGAGACAGAAUACUGAUGAGUUUUUAUUUCUGAAAGUCCCGCGAUUAGAGAAAAUUGGCAGUAAUUAUCAAAUCAUUAUCCGAAUUCUAAUGAUUCGUCAGCAAACUGGCGGAUCAUCAAAGAAUGCGAACUUUCGUUCACAUGGUAAAUGCAGAAAACGAACGAACACUUACGAAUUCGCUCGUUCGUACGUUUGUUUAUGUUCGCUAUAAUUUAAACGCGGCUUUACAUCUUUUUCCGAAUUCGCUAUCUGUAUGGAAUGGACAAGAUCCUGGAGUUAAUCGACUUACAUAGAGACAAUCCUUGCGUGUGGGAUCCAUAACAUUCCAAUUAUAAGAAAAUAUGUAAAAAAAAAAAAAAUGUUUGAACAUCAAUAAACACCAUUUUAGGGUCGCGUGCUCUGGAAGCCAAAAAGCAAAUGGACUCUCUUAUGGCGUCUUUUCGGCACGAAAGACAAAAAUCACAAAAUUAUGGUCAGAAGCCGGAACAGAUGAAAUAUAUGCUAGCAAAUGGUUUGCAUAUAGAAGUGUGUGUUUCUUACUUGACAAACUCAAAGGAAGAGAAACGGAAAACACAAUGAAAGUAAGCAAAAAUAUUUAUAAUUAAUCAAUUCAGAUAUGUAUUCUAAGCUGGAACAAAAUAUUUACAAUUAAUGU